UACGUAGGGGGCAAGCGUUAUCCGGAUUUACUGGGUGUAAAGGGAGCGUAGACGGACUUGCAAGUCUGAUGUGAAAAUCCCGGGCCCAACCCCGGAACUGCAUUGGAAACUGUAUAUCUAGAGUGUCGGAGAGGCAAGUGGAAUUCCUGGUGUAGCGGUGAAAUGCGUAGAUAUCAGGAGGAACACCAGUGGCGAAGGCGGCUUGCUGGACGAUGACUGACGUUGAGGCUCGAAAGCGUGGGGAGCAAACAGG
rnacentral:rRNA from 1 species